rnacentral:rRNA from 1 species
AUUGAACGCUAGCGGCAGGCUUAACACAUGCAAGUCGAGCGGAGAGAAGUAGCUUGCUACUGAUCUUAGCGGCGGACGGGUGAGUAAUGCUUAGGAAUCUGCCUAUUAGUGGGGGACAACAUUUCGAAAGGAAUGCUAAUACCGCAUACGUCCUACGGGAGAAAGCAGGGGAUCUUCGGACCUUGCGCUAAUAGAUGAGCCUAAGUCGGAUUAGCUAGUUGGUGGGGUAAAGGCCUACCAAGGCGACGAUCUGUAGCGGGUCUGAGAGGAUGAUCCGCCACACUGGGACUGAGACACGGCCCAGACUCCUACGGGAGGCAGCAGUGGGGAAUAUUGGACAAUGGGCGGAAGCCUGAUCCAGCCAUGCCGCGUGUGCGAAGAAGGCCUUAUGGUUGUAAAGCACUUUAAGCGAGGAGGAGACUACUUUAGUUAAUACCUAGAGAUAGUGGACGUUACUCGCAGAAUAAGCACCGGCUAACUCUGUGCCAGCCGCCGCAGUAAAAC